rnacentral:lncRNA from 1 species
CCCCAGCACCCUACCAGGCACAGCUCAAAGCUGCUUUCUCCACAAACCUCCAGACUGGCCCUGCCCACCUCUUAUCGUAAUUACCCCUGCCAAGUUUUCCCUGCAGCCUCCGCAGCUGGCUACCAGCAGCCAGUCUGCUGCACAGUGGAGAGGGUUUGUGUAGUCUCCUCCCCAAGGCAAGGCUACUUGCAAGUACCUGCAGAUGGAGGAGCUGGAAGAAGGCUCUCUCUCCUCUCUGCCGACUCACUCGCUC